CCUACGGGGUGCUGCAGUGAGGAAUAUUGGUCAAUGGACGAGGGUCUGAACCAGCCAAGUAGCGUGAAGGAUGACUGCCCUAUGGGUUGUAAACUUCUUUUAUAUGGGAAUAAAAUGUUCCACGUGUGGGAUUUUGUAUGUACCAUAUGAAUAAGGAUCGGCUAACUCCGUGCCAGCAGCCGCGGUAAUACGGAGGAUCCGAGCGUUAUCCGGAUUUAUUGGGUUUAAAGGGAGCGUAGGUGGAUUGUUAAGUCAGUUGUGAAAGUUUGCGGCUCAACCGUAAAAUUGCAGUUGAAACUGGCAGUCUUGAGUACAGUAGAGGUGGGCGGAAUUCGUGGUGUAGCGGUGAAAUGCUUAGAUAUCACGAAGAACUCCGAUUGCGAAGGCAGUUCACUGGACUGCAACUGACACUGAGGCUCGAAAGUGUGGGUAUCAAACAGGAUUAGAUACCCCUGUAGUC
rnacentral:rRNA from 1 species